AUGGGUCACCAUUCAUUCAGUCUAUCAUUUAACGCCAUCUAAAUUGGAAUUGUAGCUCCAGUGGAGCUACGUUGCAUUAUUCUGAAUAUAAGACAUAAAUACAAGCAUUAAAGACAAUGAUUGUGUUUUUACUCCUCCAAAGAACUAGAUUUGUCAACCUGCUCAAUCGAGAAAAUCAACAAUUAAGGCAAAAGCUUAUAUACAUAAAGAAUUCAGAAGUUAUGCAUGUUUACAUGAGAGGAUGGAAGGGGAGGAUUGGUAUGUUUGGUACACAAUUCUGGACUAUAUAAAACAUGAGUUUAACUUUCUUUUUUUCCUUUUAAAUCCCUAUCCACCCUCCCAAUUCAACAUGUCAAACAUGUCUAAUUUUGACCGUCAUCUAAUACAAACUUGCCAGACAAACCUAUAAGAAUGAUUCCUUCUCAAAGUGAUGUACAUAAUUCUGCAGGCCUCUCAAAACUAAUGUGCU
rnacentral:lncRNA from 1 species